rnacentral:rRNA from 1 species
UACGAAGGGGGCUAGCGUUGCUCGGAAUUACUGGGCGUAAAGGGCGCGUAGGCGGCUUGGUCAGUCAGGCGUGAAAUUCCUGGGCUUAACCUGGGGACUGCGCUUGAUACGGCCAGGCUUGAGGAUGGAAGAGGGUCGCGGAAUUCCCAGUGUAGAGGUGAAAUUCGUAGAUAUUCGCAAGAACACCAGUGGCGAAGGCGGCUCACUGGCCCGGUACUGACGCUGAGGUGCGAAAGCGUGGGGAGCAAACAGG